CCGGGGUGGAGGUAAUGUCUGGGAAACUGCCUGAUGAGGGGGAGUAACUACUGGAAACGGUAGCUAAUACCGCAUAACGUCGCAAGACCAAAUGGGGGACCUUCGGGCCUCAUGCCAUCAGACGUGCCCAGAUGGGAUUAGCUAGUAGGUGGGGUAACGGCUCACCUAGGCGACGAUCCCUAGCUGGUCUGAGAGGAUGACCAGCCACACUGGAACUGAGACACGGUCCAG
rnacentral:rRNA from 1 species